rnacentral:rRNA from 1 species
AACGAACGCUGGCGGCAUGCCUAACACAUGCAAGUCGAACGAGACCUUCGGGUCUAGUGGCGCACGGGUGCGUAACGCGUGGGAACCUGCCCUUAGGUUCGGAAUAACUCCCCGAAAGGGGUGCUAAUACCGGAUAAUGUCUUCGGACCAAAGAUUUAUCGCCUUUGGAUGGGCCCGCGUUGGAUUAGCUAGUUGGUAGGGUAAAAGCCUACCAAGGCGACGAUCCAUAGCUGGUCUGAGAGGAUGAUCAGCCACACUGGGACUGAGACACGGCCCAGACUCCUACGGGAGGCAGCAGUGGGGAAUAUUGGACAAUGGGCGGAAGCCUGAUGCAGCAAUGCCGCGUGAGUGAUGAAGGCCUUAGGGUUGUAAAGCUCUUUUACCCGGGAUGAUAAUGACAGUACCGGGAGAAUAAGCUCCGGCUAACUCCGUG